rnacentral:rRNA from 1 species
GACGUAGGGGGCGAGCGUUGUCCGGAUUUAUUGGGCGUAAAGCGCGCGUAGGCGGCCGCGCAAGUCGGAUGUGAAAACCCGGGGCUCAACCCCGGACGUGCAUUCGAUACUGCGCGGCUCGAGACAGGUAGGGGAGAUCGGAAUUCCUGGUGUAGCGGUGAAAUGCGCAGAUAUCAGGAGGAACACCGGUGGCGAAGGUGGAUCUCUGGGCCUGUUCUGACGCUGAGGCGCGAAAGCUAGGGGAGCGAACAGG